GAUGAACGCUGGCGGCGUGCUUAACACAUGCAAGUCGAACGGAGAAAGGGUAGCUUGCUAUCUUUUCUUAGUGGCGGACGGGUGAGUAACGCGUGGGUAACCUGCCCUUUGCAGGGGGAUAACAGUGAGAAAUCACUGCUAAUACCGCAUACCAACUUCUUUCGCAUGAAAGAAGUUUGAAAGAUUUAUCGGCAAAGGAUGGACCCGCGUUGGAUUAGCUAGUUGGUGAGAUAACAGCCCACCAAGGCAACGAUCCAUAGCCGGCCUGAGAGGGUGAACGGCCACACUGGGACUGAGACACGGCCCAGACUCCUACGGGAGGCAGCAGUGGGGAAUAUUGCACAAUGGGCGAAAGCCUGAUGCAGCGACGCCGCGUGAAGGAUGAAGGUCUUCGGAUUGUAAACUUCUAUCAGCAGGGAAGAAAGGGCCUAUGGCCUAUGACGGUACCUGACUAAGAAGCCCCGGCUAACUACGUGCCAGCAGCCGCGGUAAU
rnacentral:rRNA from 1 species